UCCGAAGGGGGCUAGCGUUGCUCGGAAUCACUGGGCGUAAAGCGCACGUAGGCGGAUUGCUAAGUCAGGGGUGAAAUCCUGGAGCUCAACUCCAGAACUGCCUUUGAUACUGGCAACCUUGAGUCCGGGAGAGGUGAGUGGAACUGCGAGUGUAGAGGUGAAAUUCGUAGAUAUUCGCAAGAACACCAGUGGCGAAGGCGGCUCACUGGCCCGGUACUGACGCUGAGGUGCGAAAGCGUGGGGAGCAAACAGG
rnacentral:rRNA from 1 species